rnacentral:rRNA from 1 species
AAGGUUACUUAAUGCGUAUGGAGGAUGCCUUGACUGGAACAAGCGAAGAAGGACGUAGCAGGUUGCGAUAAGCCUCGGGGAGCUGCCAAGCAAGCUUUGAUCCGGGGGUGUCCGAAUGGGGAAACCCUUCCGACUGAACGUCGGAAACCAUUGCCUGAAUUCAUAGGGCAUUGGAGCGUACCCUGGGAACUGAAACAUCUUAGUACCAGGAGGAGAAGACAUCAAUUGAGAUUCCGCAAGUAGUGGCGAGCGAACGCGGAAGAGCCUAAAUCCCACCUUUCUUGCACUGUCUCCCCGCAAGGGGAAAUAGUGUAAGCGGAGAUGGCGAGGUUGCGAGAGAACCAAACUCGUUUGAUCGGGACCAAGAAAUUUUUACUAGCAGAACGCUCCUGGAAAGGACGGCCAAAGACGGUGAUAGCCCGGUAUGCGAAAGUGAAAAUGAUUGGUGUGGUUUUUCUCAAGUAGGGCGGGACCGGAGAAAUCCCGUCUGAAUCUGGGAGCACUAUACUUCCAAGGCUAAAUAUUGUUCCAGAUCGAUAGUGAACUAGUACCGUGAGGGAAAGGUGAAAAGUAUCCCGAUGAGGGAGAUGAAAUAGUAUCUGAAUCCAUACGUUAACGAAGAGUUGGAGUGGGCCUUCGGGUCCACGACAGCGUGCUUUUUGCAGAACGAACCAACGAGUUAAUUCUACGCGGCCUGCCUAAGGGGUGACGAACUCCGGAGGCGUAGUGAAAGCGAGCCGUAACAGGCGAUUUAGUCGCGUGGAUUAGACCCGAAGCCGUGUGAGCUACACAUGAGCAGGGUGAACCAUGGGUAAAACCAUGGGGAGGCCCGAACCCACUAGUCGUUCAACGCUAGGGGAUGACUUGUGUGUAGGGGAGAAAUUCCAAUCGAACUCGGCAAUAGCUGGUUCUCUCCGAAAUAGCUUGAGGGCUAGCGUCUUGUAAUUGAGUGCGGGAGGUAGAGCUACUGAAUGAGAAUUCGCGGUUCGCCGUAGAAUUUUCAAUCAAACUCCGAAUUCCCGUUCCUUGUAUCAAGGCAGUCAGAACUCCGGGGCUAAGCUCGGAGCUCAAAAGGGAAACAGCCCAUGACCAUCAUCUAAGGUCCCUAAAUCUAUGUUCAGUGGUAAAGGAAGUGAAGUCUCAUAAACAUCUAGGAGGUUGGCUUAGAAGCAGCCACCCUUUAAAGAGUGCGUAACAGCUCACUAGCCUAGAGACUUCGCGCCGAAAAUUCAACGGGGCUAAACAUAGUACCGAAGGUAUGGAUUCACGACCUUCACAAAGAAAUUAAUCCAAGAGAAUAGAUUGAUUCUUUUGUGAAGGUCGUGUCUGGUAGGAGAGCGUUCUUUGCGCAGCGAAGCUUAAGGCGUGAGCCGUGGUGGAGUGCAAAGAAGUGAGAAUGUUGGUAUGAGUAGCCACAAUUAGAGUGAGAUCCUCUGACACCGAAAGUCCAAGGUUUCCUGGGCAAUGACAAUCAUCCCAGGGUUAGUCGACCCUAAGGCGAGGCCGAAAGGCGUAGUCGAUGGAUAUCCGGUUAAUAUUCCGGGACUACGGUGUUGUUCGAUGGAGUAACGUAUUCUUGUACAUAGCGCGUCUUAUUGGAUUGACGUAGCUGCAUUGAGGGCGUUUCGCAGGCAAAUCCGCGAAGCACUAUCCCGAGGUGUGGUUGGAACUCUGAUGCAAGUCAGGGGAACGUUAUGGAGCAGGGUACCAGGAAAAACUUCUACGAUUAACAACACCGCAUCCGUACUUAAAACCGACACAGGUGGACUGGGCGAGUAGCCUAAGGUGAACGGGAGAAUCUUCGUUAAGGAACUCGGCAAAAAAGCUAGGCGUAACUUAGGGAUAUGCCUCGCCUCGCGCAAGCGAGGCCGCAGCUAAAGUUUCUCAAGCGACUGUUUAUCAAAAACACAGGUCUCUGCAAACCCGUAAGGGGAAGUAUAGGGGCUGACGCCUGACCAGUGCUGGAACGUUAACGGGAGAGGUUCACGCCAAUCCCCGAAGCGCCAGUGAACGUCGGCGAUAACUAUAAUCGUCCUAAGGUAGCGAAAUUCCUUGUCGGGUAAGUUCCGACCCGCAUCAAAGGCGUAACGACUUGAGAACUGUCUCAACGAAGAACCCGGUGAAGUCGCAAUGGCAGUGAAGAUGCUGCCGACCUACAGCUAGACGAAAAGACCCCGUGGAGCUUUACUACAACUUGGUAUUGAAUUAGAGUGAUGACUGCCGAGCUUAGGUGGGAGACUGUGAAGUUCGCCUUCAGGGGCGGAUGGAGUCAUCAGUGGAAUACCACCCUGUCAUUAUUUUAAUUCUAACCCUGGGCCGUUAUGAGUCACUAGGACUUGUUGAUGGAACCGGUGUGAACUUUAUCCGCCUUUGGCGGAGAACAAUUGUUCAGUUAGAAAAUACAAGAGUUGUGUUGUUUGUUCACACGGUUCACAAAAAUAAGUCUUGGUUAUUCAUACCGGUCCGGGGACAGUGCCUGGUGGGUAGUUUGACUGGGGCGGUCGCCUCCUAAAUGGCAACGGAGGCGUUUACAAAGGUUGGCUAGGUCCGGAUGGAAAUCGGGCCGAUAGCGCAAAAGCACAAGCCAGCUUUACUGAGAGACCUAUAAGUCGAUCAGUUACGAAAGUAGAAUUUAGUGAACCGACCAUCGCUCAUAGGAGCGUGGAAGAUCAUCAGAUAAAAGUUACCCCGGGGAUAACAGGCUGAUCCCUCCCAAGAGUCCAUAUCGACGGAGGGGUUUGGCACCUCGAUGUCGGCUCAUCACAUCCUGGGGCUGGAGAAGGUCCCAAGGGUUUGGCUGUUCGCCAAUUAAAGUGGUACGUGAGCUGGGUUCAAACCGUCGUGAGACAGGUUGGUCUCCUAUCUGCUGUAGGCGUGGUUGUUUGAGGGGACUCUUUCCUAGUACGAGAGGACCGGAAAGAACGAACCUCUGGUGUAUCGGCUGUUCCGCCAGGAGCAUUGCCGAGUAACUAUGUCCGGACGAGAUAAUCGCUGAAAGCAUCUAAGCGAGAAACUCACCUCAAGAUCAGACAACUGUCCCACUUCGGUGGGACGAGAUUUCCUAGAAGAACACUAGGUCGAUAGGCUCCAGGUAGAAGCGCCGUAAGGUGUUCAGCCGAGGAGUACUAAUAAAUC